AUUGAACGCUGGCGGCAGGCUUAUCGCAUGCAAGUCGAGCGGAGAGAGGUAGCUUGCUACUGAUCUUAGCGGCGGACGGGUGAGUAAUGCUUAGGAAUCUGCCUAUUAGUGGGGGACAACAUUUCGAAAGGAAUGCUAAUACCGCAUACGUCCUACGGGAGAAAGCAGGGGAUCUUCGGACCUUGCGCUAAUAGAUGAGCCUAAGUCGGAUUAGCUAGUUGGUGGGGUAAAGGCCUACCAAGGCGACGAUCUGUAGCGGGUCUGAGAGGAUGAUCCGCCACACUGGGACUGAGACACGGCCCAGACUCCUACGGGAGGCAGCAGUGGGGAAUAUUGGACAAUGGGCGCAAGCCUGAUCCAGCCAUGCCGCGUGUGUGAAGAGGGCCUUAUGGUUGUAAAGCACUUUAAGCGAGGAGGAGGCUACUUUAGUUAAUACCUAGAGAUAGUGGACGUUACUCGCAGAAUAAGCACCGGCUAACUCUGUGCCAGCCGCCGCGGUAACAC
rnacentral:rRNA from 1 species